rnacentral:rRNA from 1 species
GACGAACGCUGGCGGCGUGCUUAACACAUGCAAGUCGAACGGAAAGGCCCUGCUUUUGUGGGGUGCUCGAGUGGCGAACGGGUGAGUAACACGUGAGUAACCUGCCCUUGACUUUGGGAUAACUUCAGGAAACUGGGGCUAAUACCGGAUAGGAGCUCCUGCUGCAUGGUGGGGGUUGGAAAGUUUCGGCGGUUGGGGAUGGACUCGCGGCUUAUCAGCUUGUUGGUGGGGUAGUGGCUUACCAAGGCUUUGACGGGUAGCCGGCCUGAGAGGGUGACCGGCCACAUUGGGACUGAGAUACGGUCCAAACUCCUACGGGAGGCAGCAGUGGGGAAUAUUGCACAAUGGGCGGAAGCCUGAUGCAGCAACGCCGCGUGCGGGAUGACGGCCUUCGGGUUGUAAACCGCUUUCGCCUGUGACGAAGCGUGAGUGACGGUAAUGGGUAAAGAAGCACCGGCUAACUACGUGC